AGAGGAAAUGGAGGUUGGCUUUCUUGCCAUCUGAAUAGGGCUGCAGUCCCAGGGAUCUGAGAUGCUGGAAAGCCCUGAAUUGGAUUUUAGGCUCAGUGCAGCAACACAGGCUCCAGCCAAAUUGCAUCGUCCACCCUUUGAUCCUCCUACUGCUAUGAGCACUUCCAGUGGAUAUUCAUCACAGCAGGGUAUGACCCUACACAACCCAGGAAUAGACAGAGUAGCUCAUUUUGCCGAGGGUCGGGGAGGAAGUCUGCAAUGGAGCCAAGAAUAGAGCCCUGCUCCGGCAGCUCCUGGUCGCGUGCCUUCUCCCCUCUCCUAUUCUUCCUCCCGGCAAGUGGCAAGACAAAUAGCCGGACACAUCAAAUCCACUGAGAUCAGGAGCUGAGUCAAAGGAGGAUGCCCAGGGAGAUACCUUGUCAACUGGUCCAGCGCUGAGCAGAGCCAGGCUGGAUUCACACUAGGUAGCUCCUGCACCCGCCAAGCUGGUGCCACCCUUCAACUUGCCAGCUAAUAAAGGUAUUUUGUGUGGUUCCUGA